rnacentral:rRNA from 1 species
UACGUAGGGCGCGAGCGUUGUCCGGAAUCACUGGGCGUAAAGGGCGCGUAGGCGGCUCAUGAAGUCUGUGGUGAAAGUCCGGGGCUCAACCUCGGAUCGGCCGUGGCGACUCGUGGGCUGGAGCACUGUAGAGGCGGGUGGAAUUCCGGGUGUAGCGGUGGAAUGCGUAGAGAUCCGGAAGAACACCAGUGGCGAAGGCGGCCCGCUGGGCAGUGGCUGACGCUGAGGCGCGACAGCGUGGGGAGCAAACAGG